CGUAAUUGCAUAGGGAAACUGGCCCAGUAGUGGGGGAUAGCCCGGGGAAACCCGGAUUAAUACCGCGUACGCCCUUCGGGGGAAAGCAGGGGAUCUUCGGACCUUGCGCUAUUGGAUGUGCCUAUGUCGGAUUAGCUAGUUGGUGGGGUAAAGGCUCACCAAGGCGACGAUCCGUAGCUGGUCUGAGAGGAUGAUCAGCCACAUCGGGACUGAGACACGGCCCGAACUCCUACGGGAGGCAGCAGUGGGGAAUAUUGGACAAUGGGGGCAACCCUGAUCCAGCCAUGCCGCGUGUGUGAAGAAGGCUUUCGGGUUGUAAAGCACUUUCAGUGAGGAGGAAAAGUUGGUCACUAAUAUUGGCCAGCCUUGACGUUACUCACAGAAGAAGCACCGGCUAACUCCGUGCCAGCAGCCGCGGUAAUACGGAGGGUGCAAGCGUUAAUCGGAAUUACUGGGCGUAAAGCGCGCGUAGGUGGUUUGAUAAGCGAGAUGUGAAAGCCCCGGGCUUAACCUGGGAACGGCAUUUCGAACUGUCAGGCUAGAGUAUGGUAGAGGAGUGUGGAAUUUCCUGUGUAGCGGUGAAAUGCGUAGAUAUAGGAAGGAACACC
rnacentral:rRNA from 1 species